rnacentral:rRNA from 1 species
UACAGAGGGUGCAAGCGUUGUUCGGAAUUACUGGGCGUAAAGGGCGCGUAGGCGGCGACUCUAGUCAGAUGUGAAAGUCCUGGGCUUAACCUGGGGACUGCAUUUGAUACUGGGUUGCUUGAAUUCGGGAGAGGAUAGCGGAAUUCCCAGUGUAGAGGUGAAAUUCGUAGAUAUUGGGAAGAACACCGGUGGCGAAGGCGGCUAUCUGGACCGACAUUGACGCUGAGGCGCGAAAGCGUGGGGAGCAAACAGG